rnacentral:rRNA from 1 species
UACGUAGGGGGCAAGCGUUGUCCGGAUUUAUUGGCGUAAAGAGCGUGUAGGCGGCCAGACAGGUCCGUUGUGAAAACUCGAGGCUCAACCUCGAGAUGUCGAUGGAAACCGUCUGGCUAGAGUCCGGAAGAGGAGUGUGGAAUUCCUGGUGUAGCGGUGAAAUGCGCAGAUAUCAGGAAGAACACCUAUGGCGAAGGCAGCACUCUGGGACGGUACUGACGCUGAGGCGCGAAAGCGUGGGGAGCGAACAGG